UGCACUUUAUUCCACCACUUUUAUUGAGCAACGGCCGUGGGGACCUGAUGCUGCGCUCAGUGCUCUACUGUGAGACAUCACCAGACGUCAUUGCUAGAGGCAAGAAUCGCUUACAAAGAUGAAAGGGCAGAGCCUAAUACUUGUUUUUUAAUGGUUGUUAUUCCAUGCAGAAACACUGACUGAUCCAGAACUGGUAGCUAAGGCGGUGAUCAAACAGGAAUGCUCUUCUUCUCAGUUUAAGACGAAGACCCGCCAUGACAACGGCUGGAACGCUGGAGAAGAGAAACUCCACGGCGGCCGGUGUGAAGCUUCUCGCCAGAUUUGUGGCUCCACCCCCAAGUACCCACGUGGAGAGGCCUCCAGUCGUACAGCACAAAGGGCAUCGCCUUGGGCGGCUCAGGUUCACUCUGUCCCGCACUGUCUGUGGUGGGAGGUUCGGGCCGGCCUGGGUGCAUCCAGUGAGUACCACGUUCCCUUUUCUGGUCACACUGUCUCCAGGACAGGCCUGAUCCGUUCUCCAUUACGGGUAGAGACGGGGUUUCACCAUGUUGGCCCGGCUGGUCUCAAACUCCUGACCUCAG